rnacentral:rRNA from 2 species
UGGGGAAUAUUGCACAAUGGGGGAAACCCUGAUGCAGCGACGCCGCGUGAACGAAGAAGGUAUUCGUAUCGUAAAGUUCUGUCCUAUGGGAAGAUAAUGACAGUACCAUAGAAGAAAGCUCCGGCUAAAUACGUGCCAGCAGCCGCGGUAAUACGUAUGGAGCGAGCGUUGUCCGGAAUUAUUGGGCGUAAAGGGUACGCAGGCGGUUUAAUAAGUCGAAUGUUAAAGAUCGGGGCUCAACCCCGUAAAGCAUUGGAAACUGAUAAACUUGAGUAGUGGAGAGGAAAGUGGAAUUCCUAGUGUAGUGGUGAAAUACGUAGAUAUUGGGAGGAAUACCAGUAGCGAAGGCGACUUUCUGGACACAAACUGACGCUGAGGUACGAAAGCGUGGGGAGCAAACAGG